rnacentral:rRNA from 1 species
ACGCUCGACACCUACGGGGGCAGCAGUCGGGAAUAUUGCGCAAUGGAGGAAACUCUGACGCAGUGACGCCGCGUAUAGGAAGAAGGUUUUCGGAUUGUAAACUAUUGUCGUUAGGGAAGAAAAAAGACAGUACCUAAGGAGGAAGCUCCGGCUAACUACGUCNCNNNCGCGUAGUAUNGNGGCGNGNGAGAG